rnacentral:lncRNA from 1 species
UAUGCUCGAUAAAGAGGGUGGCUGAUCUCAUAAGCCACUUGUAUGAGAAACUAAUAUAAGAAUGUGGGUACUCAUUAGAGAAUAAGUUCACUGAAAUGAUCCAAUUUAAGAAACAUCUUAUAGAAUCUACUUAUCCAUCAAAAGAUAUUUUCUUAUAGUGGGAGUAGUGCAUGUAAUCCUUUGACUUGAGACUACCAUAGA